rnacentral:lncRNA from 1 species
GAAAUUCGUCAAGAGAUUUAAGGUCGUUCAGUCGUCGUUCAGAUCGAUAGCCUCACCAGGUAAAUCAGUUCGUUAAGGCAUGUCAAGACGGAAAAGACUGAAUCGUCUAGCGGCUUGUUUAGAUCCGUUAAGAGCGUGUCAGACCAAAACAGACCAUGGAUACAAAAUUACGUUCAAAAUUUUCAGACCCUGUUUAGAUCGUUCAGUAUACCGGUUUGAUACCACGAGUUGCGCCCCUUCUACUCGAUAAUGAAUUUUAGAUUAAUAUGUAUAUAUGUAUUUUAAUAUUAGAAUUUGAAGUAUAUUUUGCC